UUGAGUGGUGUGGUUUGAAUCACCUGCAGCUCAGCACUGACAAGACUAAGGAAUUAGUGAUGGACUUUAGGAGGAGAGGAACA